rnacentral:rRNA from 1 species
UAGGGAAUCUUCCGCAAUGGACGAAAGUCUGACGGAGCAACGCCGCGUGAGUGAAGAAGGAUUUCGGUUCGUAAAACUCUGUUGUUAGGGAAGAAAAAAUGUAUAGUAACUAUAUACAAAAGAGACGGUACCUAACCAGAAAGCCACGUCUAACUACGUGCCAGCAGCCUCGGUAAUACGUAGGUGGCAAGCGUUGUCCGGAAUUAUUGGGCGUAAAGCGCGCGCAGGUGGUUUAGAAAGUCUGAUGUGAAAGCCCACGGCUCAACCGUGGAGGGUCAUUGGAAACUAAUAAACUUGAGUGCAGGAGAGAAAAGUGGAAUUCCUAGUGUAGCGGUGAAAUGCGUAGAGAUUAGGAGGAACACCGGUGGCGAAAGCGGCUUUUUGGCCUGCAACUGACACUGAGGCGCGAAAGCGUGGGGAGCAAACAGG